UCCCCGUUAUCCUGGGCAGUCCUUCCAGAGUCCCCGGCAUAACCCGCUGGCAACAUUGGACGAGGGUUGCGCUCGUUGCGGGACUUAACCCAACAUCUCACGACACGAGCUGACGACAACCAUGCACCACCUGUGCAGGGCCCUUGCGGACCUCCCAUCUCUGGGAGAUUUCCCUGCAUGUCAAGCCUUGGUAAGGUUCUUCGCGUUGCGUCGAAUUAAGCCACAUGCUCCGCCGCUUGUGCGGGCCCCCGUCAAUUCCUUUGAGUUUUAGCCUUGCGGCCGUACUCCCCAGGCGGGGCGCUUAAUGCGUUAGCUGCGGCACGGAGAACGUGGAAGGUUCCCCACACCUAGCGCCCAACGUUUACGGCGUGGACUAC
rnacentral:misc_RNA from 1 species